rnacentral:lncRNA from 1 species
AUUGUAAUUAUUUGUGUCAAUAAUAUUAAUUUCAUGAUUCCAAUAAGAAGAAUUAGAAGUAAUGGUUAGACUACAAAAAUGUGAAUUUUGUUAUAAAUUAAGCAUUGAAAUGAUCAUCCACUUCUUUACCAAACUCAAGCACUAUGAUCAUCCACUCCUUUACCAACUCAAGCACUAUGAUCAUCUACUCAUCAAACACUAUGAUCACCCACUCAUUUACCACAUUAAGCACUAUCUUUGUUAUUUUAUGUAUUGUUGUUCACUAUAAAUACCAUCACUCAUCUCACUCUUUUGUACACCAAAACAAGAACAAGAGUUUAUAAUCAAAUAAUCAUUACAUUUUCUUCUUCCUUCUUAUAAUAAACUCUCUCC